UUACAGUCUAUCAAAAUUGAUUGGUUUCCUAGUAUUCUGAGUUAAAAAUAGCUCUUGAAAGCUAUGGUUUUCUAUUCAACUUCUCAUCUAACACGGAUUCUGCUAGUUCCAAUUCUGCUUGUCGAGGUCCAGCUCAAAAUAUUAGAGCUUGGCUUAAACUUGCAACUGCUUCUUGUCAAAUGAG